GAUGAACGCUGGCGGCGUGCCUAAUACAUGCAAGUCGAGCGAACAGACGAGGAGCUUGCUCCUCUGACGUUAGCCGCGGACGGGUGAGUAACACGUGGAUAACCUACCUAUAAGACUGGGAUAACUUCGGGAAACCGGAGCUAAUACCGGAUAAUAUCUUGAACCGCAUGGUUCAAUAGUGAAAGACGGUUUUGCUGUCACUUAUAGAUGGAUCCGCGCCGCAUUAGCUAGUUGGUAAGGUAACGGCUUACCAAGGCAACGAUGCGUAGCCGACCUGAGAGGGUGAUCGGCCACACUGGAACUGAGACACGGUCCAGACUCCUACGGGAGGCAGCAGUAGGGAAUCUUCCGCAAUGGGCGAAAGCCUGACGGAGCAACGCCGCGUGAGUGAUGAAGGUCUUCGGAUCGUAAAACUCUGUUAUUAGGGAAGAACAAAUGUGUAAGUAACUAUGCACGUCUUGACGGUACCUAAUCAGAAAGCCACGGCUAACUACGUG
rnacentral:rRNA from 1 species